rnacentral:rRNA from 1 species
GAUGAACGCUGGCGGCGUGCCUAAUACAUGCAAGUCGAGCGAACAGACGAGGAGCUUGCUCCUCUGACGUUAGCGGCGGACGGGUGAGUAACACGUGGAUAACCUACCUAUAAGACUGGGAUAACUUGGGGAAACCGGAGUUAAUACCGGAUAAUAAAUUGAACGGCAUGGUUCAAUAGUGAAAGACGGUUUUGCUGUCACUAUUGGUUGAAUCGGCGCCGCAUUAGCUAGUUGGUAAGGUAACGGCUUACCAAGGCAACGAUGCGUAGCCGACCUGAGAGGGUGAUCGGCCACACUGGAACUGAGACACGGUCCAGACUCCUACGGGAGGCAGCAGUAGGGAAUCUUCCGCAAUGGGCGAAAGCCUGACGGAGCAACGCCGCGUGAGUGAUGAAGGUCUUCGGAUCGUAAAACUCUGUUAUUAGGGAAGGACAAAUGUGUAAGUAACUAUGCACGUCUUGACGGUACCUAAUCAGAAAGCCACGGCUAACUACGUG